UAUAGAUGUGAUCAAGAGACCAUCGGCUUCCCGAAAGAAAUGCUUGAAGCUGUCCAGAUAACAAUAGAUUCAAAGAUUCUUGAAGCACUGCAGAAUUUGUCUCAAGAUAUGGAGGAACUGGAAACAGAACACACUGCCUUGGUGUCCCUGUUGAGUCAGGUAUUGGAACAGAGUCAGCACCUACUGGAGAAGAAUGAACAAACAGUGCUGGAGACUCAAGCACUUUGCACGCUGGACUCCUUCUGCAAGAAGAUUGCCGUCCUUAUUUCUAUGAAGAAAGUUCCCCUCCAGAAAGCCUCGCCGAAUGACCUCUCUUCCCUAAAAAUGCUCAAAGAUGUAAAUGCUGCUACAAAAUCCCUUGAGAGUGAUAUGGACAAAGAAAUUGACUUACUAAACAUAUAAGUGUGGAAGACAUAAAGCAAGCUAACUUUAUGCAAUCAGCAUGGCUAACCAGGUCACAUAAUUACUUCAGAUGAACACAUAGAUUAAGAGUUUUAUCUGUUUUCCUGUUUCUUAAAUAUUUAUAAAGCAGUGAAUAUGCAGUAUAUUAAGAUGGAAAUGUUGGAAAAAUAUUUUAGGCUGUGGUCAAUUACUCUUUGAUUAUAAUAAAGUAUUGUGAUGAUCACACAGUAGUUGUUCUUAGAUAAUAGUUGGUGUUUUCUAUCUUAUUAAAACAUAUAUUUUUACUAAUUAAUUUUAAUUAUGAAUGACAUUUGAUAACUGUUCCUAUGACCAGAAUCUGUAAAUAUAUCUCUUUAGUACACAUGUACUCCCUCCACCCAUGUGGAUGCACUGCAACAACUGCUGAUCAUGAUGGUGAAAGCCAUGUUGUUGAAACCUAUUCCUACCCCACUAAAUGCUUAGUUGGUACCAAGAUUGCCAAAAGUCACACUUUUUUUCUUUUUAAUACUACCUGUGUUUUUUAGUGUUGGUCAUGCACAGAUAUAAUCAGUAACCCCCUUCCCCCUGCCCCCUUCUUUCCCAGAAAACGACAGGGGAUAGGUCCUGAGUGCCUGUGGGGCCUCCCUUAUCCAUAUGAAUUACCACCCAUUCAAGGAUUCCCUCAUCCAUGUGAAUUACCACCCAUUUAAGGAUUCCCUCCCUUAUCCAUAUGAAUUACCACCCAUUCAAGGAUUCCCUCCCUUAUCCAUAUGAAUUACCACCCAUUCAAGGAUUCCCUCCCUUAUCCAUAUGAAUUACCACCCAUUCAAGGAUUUCCUCCCUUCUCCAUAUGAAUUAUCACCCAUUCAAGGAUGGCUCAACUAACCUUGGCUAACUUCAUCAUCCCACCACACUUUCCGCAAUCCUACCCCACACCCUGCCACCCGGUCACAGACAAGAUGUUUAGUGUGAUUCCUUUAUGCUCUCUUUUGCAUUAAUUUCCACUGAUAUAUGUUAUUCUCAUUGUAUUAAUAAAAAUUUAUGAACUACAUGAUAAUUAAGAGAAUCUAUGAGCUCUAUAUAACAAGCAAGUCUUGAUUUUCUACAGCUAGUCAGCUGCUAUUAGUUGGCUUAUUUGCCAGUGUGUUACUAAAUGCCAGUACAAUAAGAAAACCAGAGAAUGAAAACCGAAUUCCUUCUUUCACCUCAACUGACUAUUUAUUCAUCAUUGUACGAUAAGGAUAUAUUAGUCUCCAAUACUACUGUACAAUGCUCUUCAAUUUUGUCUUUCAACCGUCCAUGCUCCUCAGUUUAAUCAUUAAAAAAGAUUUUUCCAAGA